GCCUGGGUGGUGUAAAGGUUAGCACGAAAGUUUGUGGAACUUUAAGUUUGAGUUCGAUUCUCAGCCCGGGUACCA
rnacentral:tRNA from 1 species